rnacentral:rRNA from 1 species
AGCACGCCGGCGUGAGUGAAGAAGGUUUUCGGAUCGUAAAGCUCUGUUGUAAGAGAAGAACGUGUGUGAGAGUGGAAAGUUCACACAGUGACGGUAACUUACCAAAAAGGGACGGCUAACUACGUGCCAGCAGCCGCGGUAAUACGUAGGUCCCGAGCGUUGUCCGGAUUUAUUGGGCGUAAAGCGAGCGCAGGCGGUUUAAUAAGUCUGAAGUUAAAGGCAGUGGCUUAACCAUUGUUCGCUUUGGAAACUGUUAAACUUGAGUGCAGAAGGGGAGAGUGGAAUUCCAUGUGUAGCGGUGAAAUGCGUAGAUAUAUGGAAGAA